UUAUUUAAUAUGAGAAAUUAGAUAUAGAGAUCUACUUUAAGUGUCUAUAUUUUCUUCAUCCUAUUUCGUCAAUAAUUUUUAGAAAGUUGAUUCAAACUGGACAUACAUAUUUUUAAUUAGCAUUUUACAGUACAACUGUUUAUAUUUUCUUAACAAAAAGUUUUUGAUGGAAUAGUAAAUCGAUUAAAAAAACUUAUUUGGAUAUAUCUACUUAUGCCAAGCCAACCAUCGCACUGUCCACCGUCAACAUGUAAAUGACCAUAGUAUAUCUUCAUAUGUAUUCUACUAAAUCAGUCCUACAUACAAAAUAUGAGGUACCUUGACAUUACUUAAUUGAAUGUUUAGUUACAAGGUUUUGUUAUUUAUUUGCAUUUAUUUUGUUAUUUGUUAGCAUCGCAUUUCUAAUGAAACGUGUGUAUUAAUUGACGAGAAUUACACGUUUUUGAUAAAUCAUGGCUUUCGUCGGUAACAAACUCUUUGAGGCGUUCACACCGUUCAUUUCGCCUAGUUUAAACUUAAUAAACCUCUUCACGAUAGUUCAUUAUCCAGGGGAAAAGUCCGAAUAAUGUUUAUCAAACCGAGCCAUUGCUUCAAUAGUAUUUUUUGACAAAAAACUUUAUUAACACUUAUAUAUAUAAUUUACAAACUAAUAGUCUUAAAAUUUACACACGUGUUACAACAAAGGUUAGAGCUAGUUGAAAAUCAAUAGAUUCAAUACUAGUACUGCCAUCUGUGUAUCAGCCUACGAUCUUUUCGGGGUUGUCAGAUGAUGAUUCUGUGAAGAGUUGCAGACCCAAUAAAAAGUAUCACAAUCAAAACGAUUGAAAUUUUUUUGGUAAUGUUAUGUUUUGCGAUGAAGCCAUUAUUGUAGAUACUGGUCACGUAACAAUCCUCGUUGGAUAUGCGAAUCCCGCACCUAAUAUCCCGAACAAAAUAAUUGAGGGUAAAUUAAAUGGUCCGGCGUAUUAAGAUUUAUUGGAAAAUAGUAUUAUACCUGAGAUGGUUCGGAUAUUUCCAAAUCCAAAAGAUGGAUUGGAAGGCGUGGUUUUAUCGAAUGGCCCCAGCGAUUUAUAAAACAAAAUCUGCCAAUAUUGAGGAAUUAAAAGAUAGGAUUACCACAGAAAUAAGAAUUGAACAGUCAGGGAUAUGUUGCAAAAUGUAUUGCAAAGUUUUAAAAAUCGCAUGGUUCUAUUUAAGUAAAUGGACAACAUUUUGAACAAUUACGAGUACAUGAAAGAGUUCAGUAGGUAGUAAAGAACUAAAUUUAUUAUUCAUAUAUAAUUUUCAAUUAAAUAAUAUUUGAUUAACCAUCCUUACCAAUACUGAUGUUGCUGCGUUCGCCAAAGGUCCGUAGACGACGUAAGUAUGUCCAGUAAUCCAACCAAUAUCGGCAGUACACCAAUACACAUCAUUAGGUUUGUAAUCAAAAACGUAUUUGAAAGUAGUGGCAGCAUAUAUCAUAUAGCCUCCUGUCGUGUGCAAUACUCCUUUCGGUUUACCAGUCGACCCACUGGUAUACAACAUAAAGAGCGGAUCUUCAGCUUCCAUCCAUUCUGGAUAACAGCUGGUAGACGCUUGAGGAACUACAUCUUGCCAGAACACAUCUCGUCCUGGUGUCAUGGGCGUCUGAAAAAAGUUUAAUCCACCAUUUUCAUAAUGAAUCUACGGUAAGGGUCGGCGGGCUACAUGUAGCCAUCCAGCUCUUCAGUUGGCAAAUAUUAUUGAUUUUAUCAAAGAAAAAUAUUCAAAAAUCGUUCUUGAAUCUAUAAACGAUUCCUUCCCCGUGACACACGCCAAGGAUUGCAUCUGGAGAAUUAUUUAGUGGUUUCAAAAACUUGAAAAAGAUUUGCCAUUAUCCUCUAAAAUCGUAAAAGAUAAUAUAGAAUGAGAGCUAAAAACAGAGAAAAGAAAGGAAAAUGAAGACUAGUAGCAGCUGAAGGAAAAGUCCACGAAGACGGUUCCAGUUUAUGUAGAAAAAAGAGACAAAGGUAAGGUUAGGUUAGGUUAAGUUUUGCACCCACUAGACCGAUGGGACUAGAAGCUUAAAAUGGUACAUUAGGAAAAAUUAAAAAUACGAAGCUUAGAACGGAAACAAAAUAUGAAGGGAUGACCCCCAGGUGAGACAUAUUCCAUCAAGGCCAUAGAAGAAUUCUAUCCUAAAAGAUGGAAUUCUGUUUUAGGUUAAGUUGGAUUGGUACUGAGUACACUGUUUACACCAACACUCACAAUUACACUGCCUAACGCGCGCUUCGUUAACCCAGUUAUCGUCUUCAGAGACUGAAUGUAAACUGGUAGGGUUGGUUAGGUUUUGCAUCCACUAGACCGAUGGGAAUAGUGAGUUGAAGAUACAGAAGCUUAAAAUGGUAUAUUGGGAAAAAUUAAAAAUACGAAGCUUAGAACGGAAACAAAAUAUGAAGGGAUGACCCCCAGGUUAAGUUGGAUUGGUACUGAACACACUGUUUACACCAACACUCACAAUUACACUGCCUAACGCGCGCUUCGUUAACCCAGUUAUCGUCUUCAGAGACUGAAUGUAAACUGGUAGGGUUGGUCAGGUUUUGCAUCCACUAGACCGAUGGGAAUAGUGAGUUGAAGAUACAGAAGCUUAAAAUGGUAUAUUGGGAAAAAUUAAAAAUACGAAGCUUAGAACGGAAACAAAAUAUGAAGGGAUGACCCCCAGGUUAAGUUGGAUUGGUACUGAACACACUGUUUACACCAACACUCACAAUUACACUGCCUAACGCGCGCUUCGUUAACCCAGUUAUCGUCUUCAGAGACUGAAUGUAAACUGGUAGGGUUGGUCAGGUUUUGCAUCCACUAGACCGAUGGGAAUAGUGAGUUGAAGAUACAGAAGCUUAAAAUGGUAUAUUGGGAAAAAUUAAAAAUACGAAGCUUAGAACGGAAACAAAAUAUGAAGGGAUGACCCCAGAUGAGACAUAUUCCAUCAAGGCCAUAGAAGAGUUGUACCCUAAAAGAUGGAAUUACGAAAAGUUCUUUCUUAUCAUAGAAUUUGUUAGGUGCCGACCAAUCAACACUAUUUCGAAGAA